rnacentral:rRNA from 1 species
GACAGAGGGUGCAAACGUUGUUCGGAAUACUGGGCGUAAAGCGCGUGUAGGCGGCCAUGCAAGUCGGAUGUGAAAGCCCUCGGCUCAACCGGGGAAGUGCACUCGGAAACUGCAAGGCUAGAGUCUCGGAGAGGAUCGUGGAAUUCUCGGUGUAGAGGUGAAAUUCGUAGAUAUCGAGAGGAACACCGGUGCGAAAGGCG